rnacentral:rRNA from 1 species
GAUGAACGCUGGCGGCGUGCCUAACACAUGCAAGUCGAGCGAGAAGCUCGUAAGCUGAUCUUCGGAAAGGCGAGCGAGCGGAAAGCGGCGGACGGGUGAGUAACGCGUAGGCAACCUGCCCCAUACAGAGGGAUACCUUCGGGAAACCGGGAUUAAAACCUCAUAAUGCCAUUUGAUCACAUGGUCGGAUGGCCAAAGAUUCAUCGGUAUGGGAUGGGCCUGCGUCUGAUUAGCUAGUUGGUGAGGUAACGGCUCACCAAGGCGACGAUCAGUAGCAGAACUGAGAGGUUCAUCUGCCACAUUGGAACUGAGACACGGUCCAAACUCCUACGGGAGCAGCAGUGAGGAAUAUUGCACAAUGGGCGAAAGCCUGAUGCAGCAAACGCCGCGUGAGUGAUGAG